UACGUAGGGGGCAAGCGUUGUCCGGAAUUAUUGGGCGUAAAGAGCGUGUAGGCGGUCCGGUAAGUCAGCUGUGAAAGUCAAGGGCUCAACCCUUGAAUGCCGGUUGAUACUGUCGGGCUAGAGUCCGGAAGAGGCGAGUGGAAUUCCCGGUGUAGCGGUGAAAUGCGUAGAUAUCAGGAGGAACACCGGUGGCGAAGGCGGCUCUCUGGACGGUGACUGACGCUGAGACGCGAAAGCGUGGGGAGCGAACAGG
rnacentral:rRNA from 1 species